AGCGAACGCUGGCGGCGUACUUAACACAUGCAAGUCGAACGGGGAUCGUCGGGUUAGCAAUAAUUCGGCGGUCCUAGUGGCGCACGGGUGAGUAACACGUGGGUAACCUGCCCUUGAGUUCGGGAUACCCCCUCGAAAGGGGGGCUAAUACCGGAUACGUUCCUUGGAUCGACAGGUCUGAGGAGGAAAGGUGGCGCAAGCUGCCGCUCUUGGAGGGGCUCGCGGCCUAUCAGCUAGUUGGCGGGGUAACGGCCCACCAAGGCUAUGACGGGUAGCUGGUCUGAGAGGACGACCAGUCACACGGGGACUGAGACACGGCCCCGACUCCUACGGGAGGCAGCAGUGGGGAAUUUCCGCAAUGGGCGAAAGCCUGACGGAGCGACGCCGCGUGAGGGAUGACGCCU
rnacentral:rRNA from 1 species